GCCGCCGAAAUGCAAACCUUUUACACUCAGAAAUGACAAUAUCAUCCUCUUGUUGAGAUGCCAAAUCAUCAGAAAGGAAAUAAUAUAUUGAGAUAGAACAGUAGAAAUGGCAGCACCAGUUAUGCCCAGGUGAAAAUAAUACAUUAGCACAGGAAAUAAGAACACAGCUGAUAAAUUGCCCAGUCCAAGACAUAAGACAGGAGUCUUUGUAUCCUUA
rnacentral:misc_RNA from 1 species